CCUACGGGCGGCACCAGUGGGGAAUUUUCCGCAAUGGGCGAAAGCCUGAUCCAGCAAUGCCGCGUGUGUGAAGAAGGUCUUCGGAUUGUAAAGCACUUUCGACGGGGACGAUGAUGACGGCACCCGUAGAAGAAGCCCCGGCUAACUUCGUGCCAGCAGCUGCGGUAAUACGAAGGGGGCUAGCGUUGUUCGGAAUUACUGGGCGUAAAGCGCGCGUAGGCGGAUAGAUAAGUCAGAGGUGAAAUCCCGGGGCUCAACCCCGGAAUUGCCUUUGAUACUGUUUAUCUUGAGUGCAGAAGAGGUAAGUGGAAUUCCGAGUGUAGAGGUGAAAUUCGUAGAUAUUGGGAAGAACACCGGUGGCGAAGGCGGCAACCUGGCUCGAUACUGACGCUGAGGCGCGAAAGCGUGGGGAGCAAACAGGAUUAGAUACCCCAGUAGUC
rnacentral:rRNA from 1 species